GCUGAUAUAGUUUAGUGGUAAAACAGGUCCUUGGUAAGGAUCAGAGGACAGUUCAAUUCUGUCUUUCAGCACCA
rnacentral:tRNA from 1 species